UCCGGUUGAUCCUGCCGGACAUGACCGCUAUCGGGGUGGGACUAAGCCAUGCGAGUCGUACGUCCCGGGACUCGGGACGUGGCGUCCGGCUCCGUAAAACGUGGCUAAACUACCCUUGGGACGAGAAUAACUCCGGGAAACUGGAGCUAAUUCCCGAUAGGUACAGAGUUCUGGAAUGACUCUGUACCAAAAAGGAGCUAAGGGGAUGGUCUUAGCUCCGCCCAAGGAUGUGGCCACGGCCCAUCAGGUAGUUGGUGGGGUAACGGCCCACCAAGCCGAUAACGGGUACGGGCCCUGAGAGGGGGAGCCCGGAGAUGGCCACUGAGACAAGGGGCCAGGCCCUACGGGGCGCAGCAGGCGCGAAACCUCCGCAAUGGGCGAAAGCCUGACGGGGUCACCCCGAGUCUCGCCGCUGGUUUUCCAACGGCGAGUUUUCCCCAGUGUAAAAAGCUGGGGGAAUAAGUGGGGGGCAAGUCUGGUGUCAGCCGCCGCGGUAACACCAGCCCCGCGAGUGGUCAUGGCGCUUACUGGGCUUAAAGCGUCCGUAGCCGGCUUGGUGUAUCUUCAGUGAAAUCCCACGGCUCAACCGUGGGGCAGCUGGGGAGAUUACCAAGCUAGGGGGUGGGAGAGGCCGGAGGUACUCCAGGGGUAAGGGCAAAAUCCUAUAAUCCCUGGAGGACCACCAGUGGCGAAGGCGCCCGGCUGGAACACGCCCGACGGUGAGGGACGAAAGCUGGGGGAGCGAACCGGAUUAGAUACCCGGGUAGUCCCAGCCGUAAACGAUGCGGGCUAGGUGUCGGGUGGGCUUAGAGCUCACCCGGUGCCGAAGCGAAAGCGUUAAGCCCGCCGCCUGGGAAGUACGACUGCAAGGUUGAAACUUAAGGAAUUGGCGGGGGGGC
rnacentral:rRNA from 1 species